rnacentral:lncRNA from 1 species
ACUCCCAGGACUAGCGAGCGGCGGGCGCGGACCGGGGCCUGGGGUCGGAGGCGGCGCAGCCAGAAAGGCCCCAGCGGCGCUGAGACGUUUGGGGGAAGGCGGGGGCUUCGCGUUUCGAUGGCGGGAAGCGGAAUGAGGUUGGACCGGCCGGGCCGGCGUUCAGGGACCCGGCGGGAGGCGGAGGGCUGGCGUCCUCGCGGACAUCCAUCUGCAGCGAACCAGGCAGAGGCUUUGGGAUUAGAUCCUUGACUCCUUGCGUCAGUAGUUAAGCUUUGUGAUGGUCUGAGGUCCAUGAAGGGAUUAAAACCAGGAACUGGCUCCUUCUCCAACCACUAAAGCCUCAUCUGGGCCCACAAGCCCUGGCUGUUCCCUGGAGCGUGACUGGAAGAUUGCAUGCUGCUGCCAAACCAGAGAUCACUUGUAGACUUGAAAGGGAACAUGAGCUUUGGGUGAAGGAUUCCCAGCCCCCAACAGAGGCCAAAAAGCUACCACCCAGCCAGGCAGAAGGAACAUAAAGUAUGCAUUUUAUGAUACGACUCAGCUUGGAGGGAUGAAGUAGAAGGUCCUCACUGCACCUCAUGGCAGGCUGCUGACGGCAGAUAUUUUACCGGGCUCACUGAACUGGGCAGUCAGGGAAGGGUCGGCUCCUGCUCUGUCCAGCUGUCUUCAUAAGGGACUCUGUGACACUUUUUAUAAAAAUGACUUUGAUUUCUGCAUAAGAAGGCUUCCCAAGCUUGCUGUCUAGCAGUGGCUGCUACAGGGAAUUAUUCACAUGGCAGCAAGAGAGCCCUGGCUCCCUGGACCAGGACAUUCCCUUUGUGUGUGUUGGAAUGAGAGCAGGAGGAGUGCUGGUCAGAAGCCCCUCCCCAGGGCUCUGGGACUUCAGUGUUCUCAGACAAACUGGGCCGCUCCUCUGAGCUGGGAUGCUGACCCACACUUGGCCCCGGCUCUGGCAUCCACAGGACGCUGCCUUAUCCGUCAUCUCGCUGGGGCUGGGGGCUAGAGGCUGAGCAGGUCACACUGAACAAAAGAAGUGUGUCCCCAUCACUAGGCUAACAUCUGAGUUUCUUCCACAGUAUUUGGUAACACAGUCAGAAACAAGACUGAAGAUGAUUCUGGAGGCAACUGGGAACCCCCCAGAACGAUUCUGCAGGCUUCUGGGAAGCUGAAAAACCCCAAGGCCAGACUGGCCUCAGAAUGCCUGAGUCCUUUUGAUUCCACUGGAAAAGCCAUCCAUCUGUGCCAAGUGUGUGGAGAGCUUCAAGAGCCAUAUAGCCCUGGCCACCAUGAGCACAGCCACGUGGGGGAGUAGUCCUGAAAGUGUCCUGGUGUGGCAAAGGCUUUCCACUAAGUGGACCUCAGAUGGCACAGGAAGACCCUCCUGGGGAUGUGGGAGGACACUGCCUAGUGGGUGAGGGGCCGCUCUUUCAGGUGUGCACACUAAAUGCAGAGACAGCCUCUCCUGGCUGCCAAGAAGCCUGUGCAUGAUCCAGGACCACAAAACACUUGCAAACUCACUGCCCAGAGGC